AUACGGAGGGUGCAAGCGUUAAUCGGAAUUACUGGGCGUAAAGAGUACGUAGGUGGUUUAUUAAGUCAGAUGUGAAAGCCCCGGGCUCAACCUGGGAACUGCAUUUGAAACUAGUAGACUAGAGUAUGGUAGAGGGGGGUAGAAUUUCUAGUGUAGCGGUGAAAUGCGUAGAUAUUAGAAGGAAUACCAGUGGCGAAGGCGGCCCCCUGGACCAAUACUGACACUGAGGUACGAAAGCGUGGGUAGCGAACAGGAGUAGAAACCCCAGUAGUCC
rnacentral:rRNA from 1 species